GACGAACGCUGGCGGCGUGCCUAAUACAUGCAAGUAGAACGCUGAAGGAGGAGCUUGCUUCUCCGGAUGAGUUGCGAACGGGUGAGUAACGCGUAGGUAACCUGCCUGGUAGCGGGGGAUAACUAUUGGAAACGAUAGCUAAUACCGCAUAACAGUAGAUAUCGCAUGAUAUCUGCUUGAAAGGUGCAAUUGCAUCACUACCAGAUGGACCUGCGUUGUAUUAGCUAGUUGGUGAGGUAACGGCUCACCAAGGCGACGAUACAUAGCCGACCUGAGAGGGUGAUCGGCCACACUGGGACUGAGAAACGGCCCAGACUUCUACGGGAGGCAGCAGUAGGGAAUCUUCGGCAAUGGACGGAAGUCUGACCGAGCAACGCCGCGUGAGUGAAGAAGGUUUUCGGAUCGUAAAGCUCUGUUGUAAGAGAAGAACGAGUGUGAGAGUGGAAAGUUCACACUGUGACGGUAUCUUAACAGAAAGGGACGGCUAACUACGUG
rnacentral:rRNA from 1 species